CUCUCCUCUCGAGUUCCCACCACGCCCCCUCCCGCCCCCAAAUCAAGAAGCGAGGGGAGAGAAAAUCCCAAACGGCGCAAACCCUCCCCCUCCUCCCUCCCUCAUUCAAAACCCUAGAAAUCUCCUCCUCCCCCACCUCCCAAUUCCCCUCCUUUAACCCUCUCCGCCUUGCUUAUUCCUAUCCGGUUCCUCACGUUAUCCUCUCCGUCCUCUCCCUCUCUCUCGUGCGCGCGCGCGCGCUCCUCUCACCGGUGGCCGCCGUGAACCCUAGCGCAUUCGCGGCGUUUCAGCUCUCAGCUUUGGCCCUAUUUUGCUCGUGUUCUUGGAUUCGGCUCUCUUCUCGGAGUGGGGGUCGUAUGCUGUGAAUUUUGAAUCCCAAGGGUUUUUGGCGGCCGUUGUGAAAUCUUGGAAUUAAUGGGCUUUGCCCCUUCUCCUUGAGCUUUUAAAAAGUGUAGAAAUUUUCGCACUUUCAUUUUCUUGCAGAGCCACUUUCUUGUUUUAUGUUUUGGUCUUAUUUUAUAUGCAAUGGCUAUACUGGGUUUCAUCAACAGUGAUGAAGCAUAUCUACCUCAAUUCUUUGUCGAACUGGAACAUUAGUUUACUUGAAAGAAAGCUGGAUUUUGUUAGAUUUUUGUUCAUCAUCUGAGCUGAAAGUUCUGUUCUCGGCGGACAUUCUUUUAAUUUGGCAGUGUAGCUCUUCAUUUGUUUUUCCCUCGGGUGCAUAAAUCUCACAGAAAAUGUCAGAGAGCGAGAUGGCGAUAAUUAAGCCAGAGGCUAUGAAGUCUUACAUCUGGCUUCAAUGUGCCGACGGUUCAAUCCAGCAAGUUGAAGAGGAGGUUGCAAUGUUCUGCCCCAUGAUAUGCCGAGAGGUACUUCAGAAAGGCAUGGGAUCUUCAAAAAACUAUGCCAUUUCUCUUCCACAACGAGUCAACCCUGCAAUCUUAAGCUUGAUUCUUGAUUAUUGCCGGUUCCAUCAAGUUCCGGGCCGCUCAAAUAAGGAGCGGAAAUCUUUUGAUGAGAAAUUCAUCAGGAUAGACACAAAAAGAUUAUGUGAGUUGACAUCUGCAGCAGACAGUCUUCAGUUGAAGCCAUUAGUUGAUCUGACUAGUAGGGCACUUGCUCGCAUGAUAGAAGGAAAAACACCUGAGGAAAUCCGUGAGACUUUCCAUUUGCCGGAUGACCUCACUGAGGAAGAGAAGUUGGAGCCUUUAAAAAAUGCAAAUGAUGAUCCACGGAUCCGUUUAUUGAAUAGAUUAUAUGCUAAGAAAAGAAAAGAGCUGAAGGAACGACAAAAAUUAAAGGAUAUUGAAGUUGAGGAAGAACCAAAGGAUGAGCGUUCGGUCGAAGAAAUUCUAUCAUUCAUAAAUGGUGAUGGAGAUUCCAAAAGUGUUAAAGUUCCGAAGAGCAAAAAGAAGAAUAGGAGAAAAAAAGACCAUUCCAAAGAUUCUCCUAGAACUGAUUCUGAACAGGUGCAGAAGAAGGGCACUUCUGUACCUUUGUCAAGCACGGAAGAUAGCGGGAAAUCCACACUAAGUCGAAGUUUAGAUGUGCGAGAAAGUGUUGAAUAUCCUUUUGAACCGAAGGAUGAGUUUGAAGACGCUGAUGUUGAUGAUGAGUUGGAUCCUGCAAUGCAAGAAGAGCUUGAUAGGGAAGUGGAAGAUUUUGCUAGGAGAUUGAAUUCUGACUGGCCUGAAAGAGUGCAAGAAAUUUUAUCUCUAGGUGAAGAUACAAGGACUGGAUCAAAUUUGAUAAAUGGAAAUGGAUCUGCUCGGAAAUACACAGACACAGUUCAUAUAUAAAAAAACAGGGGUCUGUUGGCCCAGCUGAUGCUCCUGUAGAAGUGAUGUUAUGGGAAAUAUUUCAGCAGAACUUACUACGAGUUAUUUGGUUUUUGGUGCCACCUCUAAAAUAUAUCAUAUAAUAAUAUACACUAAUACUUGUGGUCAAAAGCCCAUAGUCUUCCUUUUUGGGCCCAAAACUUGUUGUGGUGCCAAAUGCACGGUUUUGUUUCUAGAGAAGCUGCAUCACAAGCCAAGCCAAACCGGUACCAAGUACCUUAUCAAACUAUUUCACUAUAUAUGGAAAUUAUGCUGUUGAAGAUUGGAGAUACACAUGCAAACAUAUCUCAAUACAUGCCACACUGCGGCAGCCAGGGUUGGAGCGGAGAUGAAUGAGUCUGACUCUGUGGAUCUUGCAAUUCAUACAUGGAUAUGUUGGAAGGGCCAAGGAAUGCUGCUUGUUGUCUGCAAUCUGAUUUGUUCCUUUUGGGAAGGCCUUCAAGUUCAGGAGCUAUUAAAAUGGCAUGGACAUCAGGAUGUUCAUGUUAGAGCUUUCAGCUCUCUGAGCUGGAUAAAGCCUUUGCCCCCAGCCAUCCAAAGAGGGCCUUUUUUUUGUAUUCCAUUUGGGAAUGUGUUGUUCUUGUCUUAGUUUCUUUUACUGUGUGAUUGUUUCUUAAUCGAUUAGACACUAUUAUGGUAAUAAAGAUCAGAGCAUUCAGAAGAAAAA